GGGGGUGUAGCUCAGAGGUAGAGCGCUCGCUUUGCAUGCGAGAAGUCCCGGGUUCGAACCCCGGCACCUCCA
rnacentral:tRNA from 1 species